ensembl:lncRNA
CGGGAAGCAUUGCUGGGACAGAAAGGUUCCAGGUACCUGUCUGGAAGAGAAGAAGAACUAUGUUCCCCAAGAGUCUUUUCGAGUACUGUUAUCAUUCCUGCUCAAGGGAACAGAUAUAAGGGCGCAGGUCAUCUGACUCGGCCCUCUUCUCGUCUCGCCGUGUUCCCUGUUGGAUCGACUCGCUACUGCUGCGCCCGACUGCACGCAAGGCUUCAGUAUUAGCGGUGAGUGAGAACUGCAGAAGAGUUUCUUGCCAGCUCAAACUAGUGAGCAGCUGUCGUGGUCAUGGGCCCCAAGGAGGUGAAUGUCAGGGACUGGAAGGGACCUUGAAAGAUCAUCUUGUCCAAUCCCCAUGCUGGAGCAAGAACAUCUAGAAAUGUACCCAGAUACUGAAAGGUCACUAUCAGGCCACCUCUGAGCCUUCUCUUCUCCAGCCUCAACAGCCCCAGCUCCUUCAGCCUAUCCUCAUAGGAGAGGUGCUCCAUCCCUUGGAUUGUUCCUGGCCCCCCCCCUCUGGAUGAACUUCAACAGGUGCAUGUCUCUCCCCUACUCUGGACUCUGCAUUUGGACACAGAACUCCAAGUGAGGUCUCACUGGCACAAAGCAGAGGGUCAGGAUCACCUUCCUUGACCUGCUGGUCCUACUUGUUUGGAUGCAGCCCAGGAUGUGGUUGCCUUUCUGGGCUGUGAAGGCA